CAAACGGCCCUUUUCAGGGCCACCAACAAAUAUCUCCGCAAGAGUU
rfam:Aedes albopictus isolate Foshan contig118601, whole genome shotgun sequence.